rnacentral:rRNA from 1 species
GAUGAACGCUGGCGGCGUGCCUAAUACAUGCAAGUCGAGCGAACGGACGAGAAGCUCGCUUCUCUGAUGUUAGCGGCGGACGGGUGAGUAACACGUGGAUAACCUACCUAUAAGACUGGGAUAACUUCGGGAAACCGGAGCUAAUACCGGAUAAUAUUUUGAACCGCAUGGUUCAAAAGUGAAAGACGGUCUUGCUGUCACUUAUAGAUGGAUCCGCGCUGCAUUAGCUAGUUGGUAAGGUAACGGCUUACCAAGGCAACGAUGCAUAGCCGACCUGAGAGGGUGAUCGGCCACCCUGGAACUGAGACACGGUCCAGACUCCUACGGGAGGCAGCAGUAGGGAAUCUUCCGCAAUGGGCGAAAGCCUGACGGAGCAACGCCGCGUGAGUGAUGAAGGUCUUCGGAUCGUAAAACUCUGUUAUUAGGGAAGAACAUAUGUGUAAGUAACUGUGCACAUCUUGACGGUACCUAAUCAGAAAGCCACGGCUAACUACGUG